GACGAACGCUGGCGGCGUGCUUAACACAUGCAAGUCGAACGGAAAGGCCCUGCUUUUGUGGGGUGCUCGAGUGGCGAACGGGUGAGUAACACGUGAGUAACCUGCCCUUGACUUUGGGAUAACUUCAGGAAACUGGGGCUAAUACCGGAUAGGAGCUCCUGCUGCAUGGUGGGGGUUGGAAAGUUUCGGCGGUUGGGGAUGGACUCGCGGCUUAUCAGCUUGUUGGUGGGGUAGUGGCUUACCAAGGCUUUGACGGGUAGCCGGCCUGAGAGGGUGACCGGCCACAUUGGGACUGAGAUACGGCCCAGACUCCUACGGGAGGCAGCAGUGGGAAUAUUGCACAAUGGGCGGAAGCCUGAUGCAGCAACGCCGCGUGCGGGGUGACGGCCUUCGGGUUGUAAACCGCUUUCGCCUGUGACGAAGCGUGAGUGACGGUAAUGGGUAAAGAAGCACCGGCUAACUACGUG
rnacentral:rRNA from 1 species